AGAGUUUGAUCCUGGCUCAGGAUGAACGCUGGCGGUCUGCUUAACACAUGCAAGUCGAACGGAACUUUUCGGAGUUCAGUGGCGGACGGGUGAGUAACGCGUGAGAAUCUGCCUUCUGGUCGGGGACAACCACUGGAAACGGUGGCUAAUACCGGAUGAGCCUACGGGUAAAAGAUUUAUUGCCAGAAGAGGAGCUCGCGUCUGAUCAGCUAGUUGGUGAGGUAAAGGCUCACCAAGGCAUCGAUCAGUAGCUGGUCUGAGAGGAUGACCAGCCACACUGGGACUGAGACACGGCCCAGACUCCUACGGGAGGCAGCAGUGGGGAAUUUUCCGCAAUGGGCGAAAGCCUGACGGAGCAAGACCGCGUGAGGGAGGAAGGCUCUUGGGUUGUAAACCUCUUUUCUUGGGGAAGAAAAAAAUGACGGUACCCAAGGAAUCAGCAUCGGCUAACUCCGUGCCAGCAGCCGCGGUAAUACGGAGGAUGCAAGCGUUAUCCGGAAUUAUUGGGCGUAAAGCGUCCGCAGGUGGCACUUCAAGUCUGCUGUCAAAGGUCGGGGCUUAACCCCGGGAAGGCAGUGGAAACUGAAGCGCUAGAGUGUCGUAGGGGUAGAGGGAAUUCCCGGUGUAGCGGUGAAAUGCGUAGAGAUCAGGAAGAACAUCGGUGGCGAAGGCGCUCUGCUGGACCAUAACUGACACUCAGGGACGAAAGCUAGGGGAGCGAAUGGGAUUAGAUACCCCCGUAGUCC
rnacentral:rRNA from 1 species